AUCCCCAGGUCAAUCGCAGAGAGAAUAUACUUCCUCCCGGGCCUCCCUCAAGAAUCAGAAUAACAAAGGAGCACAUAUUAUUGGUUGGUUCUACAUUGAGAACCAACAUUUAAUGUUUGCCUAUUUUCAAAGCAAGACGUAUGAUAAUUUUGAAUUUUUUAGACACGCCUAAUAAAUUGAAAAGGAGUGAGUAUCUAGAACCUUUGCUAUUUCUAAGCCGAAAAAAUUAUAUUCGAACAACUAUAAGAGAAGAUAUGUUAGCACCUUAAAAAGUUGUAUUUAUCUCGAAAAAGAGUGAGUUGACAAGAUAUGUACAUCUAAAGUGCUCCACAAUAUUAAAUCCAAAUUGGAUCCACACAUAAAGAAAAGAAAAGGAACAAUCCAAUCAUGAAUAGUUUGUGGGAAAAAAAAAAGGCAAAAGGUACGAAUUUCAAACUAGGCUGUGAAUUCGGUCUAUAAUCACUAGAUCCGCCUCUCUCGCUUCUCCCGCUGUGUUUCGGACUUGGAUUUGAGACCCUGUGAGAUUGUCGCUUGUCGGUACACUUGUGAUCCAUGUCCAUAUCGACAUAGCGGCAAUCUUAUCGAGACAAGAACAUAUACCGCAUUCGGCGGGCUAUUCGCCUCCGCGCUCCCUCCGGUGAAGAAACAGAAUCUACACUUGCUUGCUCCGGUUAACCGCGCAGUUGCCUUGAAAGACGAAAAAGACGAGGGAAGAAGAGAGAGGACGGCUGGCUGCCUAGCUUGGUCCUACGUGUACGCACGUAACGGGCCUAUGAAAUGGCACGAAAGCGUCAAAAGCAAGGCCGGGCCCCCGGGCCGUACGUUUGGGCCCACCACGCUCUGGCAUUCUGCCGGGCGAUAUGAUUCGGUGGCACGCGCCAUGGGGGUCCUACCUGUAAAAUCGUUGGUCGAAAGGAGCGAAUCAAACACGGGGAGUGCAGCGGUGGCGUCCAAGCUGCGGCCGGUAUGGCGUUGGGCCGAAAGUGAAGGCCCUUGCGGCCCGGCCAGUCGGUGCGAUCGAGCUGGGCCGUGCCAUUUAUCAAGAACCUAACGUCCCCGCUCUAAAAUAAAAAAAAAAACAGAGAUCCUAACGCCGUCACUGAGAUUGCGUUGCAAGCUGCUGCUGCAACGGCCAGCAGCCCGGUUCCAUUUGGGCAACUGAUCCGAUUCGGUCAUUUGGUAGCGCCGGUAGUAUUCGCUUCGUACGUCCGCGUAUCGCGGCACGUGAACCUCCGUCGAUCCCGUCCCCCCAACCCCACCCCCGGGAUCCCCAAUCAAUCGAUCGUUGAGUUGUUCGUUGCUCGCCCAAAGCCCCAACGAUCGUUGAGCACACCUUGCACGCCCCGAGAACGAAUCUCGUCGGAUCGUGAGAUAACCGCACCGAACC
rnacentral:lncRNA from 1 species